rnacentral:RNase_P_RNA from 1 species
GAGGAAAGUCCGGGCUCCCAGAGAACACGGUGGCGGCUAACGGCCGCCGGGGGCGACCCCAGGGAAAGUGCCACAGAGAACAUACCGCCUCCGCGCCUCCGGGCUCGGCGGUAAGGGUGAAAAGGUGCGGUAAGAGCGCACCGCGCUUCUGGCAACAGAAGCGGCAGGGCAAACCCCACCGGGAGCAAGAUCAAAUAGGGGUGGGCGCGCGGAGCGGGAAACCGCAGACGCAAGGCGCGUUCUCACGCUACCUGCCCGGGUUGAUUGCACGAGGCGCUUGGCGACAGGCGUCCCAGAUGAAUGGUCGUCGCGGAGGCGCAAUCCUCCAAACAGAACCCGGCUUA